rnacentral:rRNA from 1 species
UACAGAGGGGGCAAGCGUUGUUCGGAAUUACUGGGCGUAAAGGGCGCGUAGGCGGCCUUCUAAGUCGAACGUGAAAUCCCCGGGCUCAACCCGGGAACUGCGUCCGAUACUGGAAGGCUUGAAUCCGGGAGAGGGAUGCGGAAUUCCAGGUGUAGCGGUGAAAUGCGUAGAUAUUGGGAGGAACACCAGUGGCGAAGGCGGCUCACUGGACCGGUUCUGACGCUGAGGCGCGAAAGCGUGGGGAGCAAACGGG